CCCUGUAGAUACCUCACAGACUUACAUCGAAGGAAAGGAUAAUGACCUCAUCCCUCCGUUGGAACACUGCAUUCGGACCAAGUGGAAAGGCGCCGUCGUCGACUGGAACGGCACAGAACCCAUCCUGUGAUCGCGGUGUCCCGCAACGACCGGAAACCAGCCCGUUCCCACAGCGAUAGGAAACCCCGGAAGGUGCCGUGCGUGCUUCCAUCGCACGCGACGAGGCCGAAGGACAUUUCGGGAUCCCAUCUGGGGCACCGCGCACUCCUCCUCCCAUUGUUGUAAACAAGCGGCCGGGCGCGCACGCACAUUUGGGCCUGCGCUGUGUGCCGCGUGUGAAAACGGAGAGCCAACCUUGACAGCCAAAACAAGCUGCGGGGAGAGAGCAGUAAAUCUGUCGACAUCUACUCA